AGAUGAAAUUUGAAAGGAAAUUAUCAUUAAGGUGUCAGAGACUACCUAUUUGAAAUCUCCAAUAUUUAAACCCUUAAACAUUUUUUUUCUUUUGAUUCCACAGGGCAGUUAACACUUUGGCUAAAGAGUCUUUGGGUCCUAAAUAGGCUUAAAUGUGUCACAAAAGCAUUUCGUGUUGAUUAAUCGAUGACCGAAGCCCUAUGGCUAUGUUUAACAUAGAUUCCGGAAUCAUUUUGCUUUCUAAAAACAGCUUGAGAUACAAUGUCAGCACCUGCUAAUAAAAAUAACUUAAUUUUUGCUUACCAAAAUGGUAUGUAGUAUUAUUAAGAGCUUAAAUAUUUAUAUCGUGUUCUAUUCUCAAUUAAUUCACUUGGGCUUUCAAACAUUUUUUUUUAUCUUUAAGAGCCCUUAUUUAAAACCUCUUAAUACCAACCAACCACAACCCAUGAUGCUUUUACUCCAUUAUAAAGGAAACUCUCAGAUUCCAUACAUAGUGUUUUGAAAGGAAUCCAAGAUCUUUACUGGGGACAUACUGUUAAAAAGACAUAAAAUUUAGUGGGAAAAGUGUAUCAUGGGGUCGGUACCGAGGGGAUUUUCCCAGCCUACAGAAGUGAAGACUAGCUUGGAGAAAAAAUAGCUCUCUGCUACAUAAUGCAUGUGGUCCCUCCUCCAAUGCAGAUGCACCCUCCAAACUGCCUCCUGUCACUUCCUUAAAUCAUGAAUACUGUAUGUGAAUAAUUGUUGCACAUGUAUGAUUAAAAUGUAUUAUGAGACAUUUUCUCUUACCACUUCCUCCCUCAAAGGUAGCCAAAAGCCCCCAUAAAGGCAAGCCCUACAUUUUAGGACUAGAUUGUUUAAGCCUCCCAAGUACAGGAACUCUAUUUCUGCUUUAUUUUUAACUCCCCACAGUGCCUGCUUCUAGAGAGCCUGAAGACAAUCUAUAUGCAAGAGACUUUGAGUAACAGCUAUGGCUCGCUAAGGGCAGGCAGCAGUGAUUAAUGCAUGUCCGGAAUUACUACUGACUUAACAGACUGUCUUCACCACCUUAAGUUUGUGUGUGAAGUUGGCUGUCCUUCCCACUGUUCAGCCAGGGCAAGUUUGUGCCUUAGGGGGCCAAUUCCCUUUGAGUUGCUAUUGAAUGAUCUAUGCCCCCAAGUUAGGCCAGGUUGGAAAGGGUAAGGUCAUAGUUGGGGGACUGCCUUUCCUCUACCAUGAGAAGAUAGAGCAACAAGAGCUCCUGGUCAAUUUACCCCACCCUCUGUUUCCCAGAAGCUAGCUGGGCUCUGGCUGAACUCUAGGGAUACAAGUCUAAACGGGGUAGGUUUUGGAACAUAGCCCUGAGCUGGGUCAUUCCUAGUGCAGGGAAACAUCAGAAUACCUUAGGACCCACACUGGAGAUAUUUUCAUUCUUUAAAUAAAGUGGCUGAGCAUCUGGGCGUGUAAAGUUAAAUCAAACACCAUAUAGCUUCAAAAACCUUAUAGCUUCUAGUCAAGGGACUUAGAUAGAAAUGAAGAGAUGAUCAGAGUACCAUGCGGUAAAGGCAUACUGGAGCUGACUGAAGGGAUGGGGACUGGUGAAGGACAAAGAUGUAGUUCGAGAAGGGACGCUGGGCUGAGUCUUGAGAGACUUCUGGCUUCAGCACCCAUAGGCAUUCCAGGCUGAGGGAGCAUGAAGCAAGAGAGAGCUUUGAGUAGCUGAAGAACUUCAAGCAGUUAAUUAUAGCUGGAAUGAAGAGUAACAGGUGAGAGGGUGAGAGAAUAGGCUGGAAAGCUGCAUGUAACCGGCCUGGUGUACUGAGCUAAGAAGUUGAAAUUCAUCCAGAAAGGGAGCUGAAUUCAGCUUUACAUAGGCAGGACAAAACCAGCCUUGUAGUUAUGGCAAGGCAUGGGGUUAGGUUCUCUUGGCUUUGGGCCUCCAGCUGUAUGUUGAAUUUGCACAGGGGUAUGCACUAGGUUACCCUAGUCUGGUCCCUCAGUGCACUGGAUUUCACUUUGUUCAGUGCUUCUUGGUGUGGGAAUCAUGUCUCCAGCUCUCUCUGUAUGUGUUCACCCUGUGCCUGCUCAGUGCUGUUCUGGGAAUGGACACCCUGAGCAUAGGGGUCAACAAAGGAGUGGAGUUAGUGCUCAGUUCAGUUGGAAGGUGACCAAAUACGAAUGCUGGGUGUGGCAAAUUAAUUUUCAUUGUUAUCACUCCAUAAGCGAAGGAAAUGUAGCCCUUGUUAUUUUCCAACAUAGUCUCCAAUAGAAACAGUUGUUUGUGACACUGAAUUAGUCUGUUAAAAAAUUCAUCACCUGAAAAAUUGCAUCAUGUAUUACUUUAAAAGUAAUGACUGUAGUAGGCAGAAAAGUGCCGACUCCGCCCACCCAGAAAUGUCCAUGUCCUCAUCCCUCGAACCUCACGGAGCAAGAGAGACAUUGCAGUUGUCAAUAAACUCAGGAUCUUGAGAUAGGGAGCUAGUCCUGGGUGGUCUGUGUGGUCCCAGGGUGCUUACAAGGUUCCUUAAAAGUAAAAGAGGGAGGCAGGGUCAGAGUGGUUCAAAGAAACCCUCAAGGUUAUUGUUGGUUUUGAAGCCUGAAGAGGGCCACCAGCCAAGGGAUGCAGGUGGCCUCUAGAAGCUGGAAAAGACAAGGAGAGGGAUUCUCCCCAAGACUCCAAGAAGAACACAGCCCUCCUGACACCUCGAUUUUAGAACAAAUGCUUGGGCCGAAAUGUCCUGAACAAGGAAUGAUCUGCAGCAGGGGAUGGACCCAGUACAGCAGGAAUAUUACAGCGAAUGAGUCUUCUUUGGUGGUCCAGCGACACCAGCCCUUAUACUUCACAGCGUGAGUGAUAUAAACAUCAAGGCCAGGUGCAGUGGCUCACACCUGUAAUCCCAGCACUUUGGGAGGAGUGAAGUGGAGGAAGAGGUACGUUCAACUACAGAGGAGGAAACUGAGGCCCAGAGGGGAAAAGUGACUUGAUUGACAAAAAUUGGAUUCUGGUCUUUGUUCUGCCAAAGGGAAAUAACUUCCAUGUCUGUUCUUACCCAUCAGGAUUAUUGGGAGGAAAAAUAUACAACACCGUAAAUGAAAGCCAUUUUGAAAACCUUAUACCACUCCCCGGAUGCUGGGGAUCAGCUGCACAUGUAAGAGGUGCCCCGUGGACACUAUUGACUUACUGCUCUGGGAAGUCUACAGGUUGUGGGAAACAGUCUUAAGUUCUGAAAAAGGAAAUUACACUGGCUCUAAUCAAUAGCUAGGAUCCCUUCUGAGAUGCCCCUUCCCCGUGGCAUCAUGGAGGCGGGAGAAGGGCCAGGCUAUAUUUCAAAGCCCCCCUCCUUCUCUUCCCUCUUUUUCCCUAGGCUGCCAGAAUCUUAGAUUGUAGUGCAAGAACAACCAUAUUGCUGGAAGUGAAAUUUGCAGUCUGCUCUAUCAGAUGGUUUCUGCGCAUGGUCUGUUACUAUGUUCAAAGCAUUAAACUGCCUGAAAGUGGAUUAUUUACAGAGCUUCUCUCUUCCCAGAGCUGCUGAUAGGUGGCAACUCAGCCUCUUCACCCUAAUGCACACUUUCUCACUUUCCACCGAGACUUUUUGUUUGCUGACAGCAUCUGGCUAUCCUGGGUACUUGCCUCAGCUGGCACAGUUCUCUCCAAUCCCUAGAAGAAACAGCCUUCACCUACACACCAGGGAUGAAAUAAGAUUUCAGCUCAAAGCUAGCAACCUUUCUCUGAAAUGGUGUCACACCCAGACAGAAAAAUAAAUGUGCGUUUCUUCUUAGAUGAUGAGAAGUCAGUCUUUCAGGCAGACUUUUCACACAGGGAGGAUCAAGGUUUGACUGCCUUUGAUUUGCAGAAAAAACAGCACCUAAUUGGACAAAGGAAGAAAGGAACCAGCUGCUACUGUCAUCAUUAUUUAAACACCCAUCCACAGUCAAAAACACUGCAUUGUUUCAUUACAAGUGAAAUUUGAUUGCCAGUACAUUUCCUGCUGGCCUCCCCUCUAUGCAAAUUGGGGAGAAGAAAGAAAUUCAUAAGGCAUCAGAACCCAUUUGGCUUCUAAAUGUACUGUUUGCAUAUAGACAUCAGCAGCCUGAAUAAAUCCUAGCAAGGAAUGUCAAACAAACAACACUGGCUAUUUUUCUAUUGUUCUCCCUGAAAACAUCGUUUUUAACAUAUUCACAAAGGCAAGCUGGAUUCUGUUUUACCAGUGUUUUAGUAGAAGACAAGUGCAUGGUGGUUCAGUUGUGGGUAUUGGACAUUAACGAAAACUAUUCUGGGAGAGUUCAGUUUAUAAAAGAUUAAAAUAAUUCAUCAACUUG